rnacentral:rRNA from 1 species
GAGUUUGAUCAUGGCUCAGAUUGAACGCUGGCGGCAGGCCUAACACAUGCAAGUCGAGCGGUAGAGAGAAGCUUGCUUCUCUUGAGAGCGGCGGACGGGUGAGUAAUGCCUAGGAAUCUGCCUGGUAGUGGGGGAUAACGCUCGGAAACGGACGCUAAUACCGCAUACGUCCUACGGGAGAAAGCAGGGGACCUUCGGGCCUUGCGCUAUCAGAUGAGCCUAGGUCGGAUUAGCUAGUUGGUGAGGUAAAUGGCUCACCAAGGCGACGAUCCGUAACUGGUCUGAGAGGAUGAUCAGUCACACUGGAACUGAGACACGGUCCAGACUCCUACGGGAGGCAGCAGUGGGGAAUACUUGGACAAUGGGCGAAAGCCUGAUCCAGCCAUGCCGCGUGUGUGAAGAAAGGUCUUCGGAUUGUAAAAGCACUUUAAAGUUGGGAGGAAAGGGCAGGUAAAAUUAAUAACUUUGCUGUUUUGACGUUACCGACAG